GCUCGGACCUCGGUGGGCAGCGGCGCUGAAGGCACGGCGCUCGCCCGGCGAAGCCGCGCAGCAGAACAGCAUCAGUAGGCGCGCAGGCCUGUCUAAUCAGGGCGCUGGUUCUGCGAUCAGCCAGCAGCACCCGCCUGAAGCCUCGGCCCAGGCUGCUUUGGCGCACAAUGGAAAGAGCACAAAUUAUACCGCACGAUUUCUCAAGGAAGGUUACACGGCACUGUGAUCAAAUAGCUUCUUCCUAAGUGCACAUUUUCACUUUAAUAAACCCAUCUAACAUUCCUGGUAAUGGAGCCUUCACAUCGUACAGAGUCAGAAAGGCAGAAAAGGCUCUGGAAGAUUGACUAGCCUAAGGGGUUGUUGAGGAGCAAGCUCAUCUCUGUGACACAGGUGAUGAGAUCAAGUGCACCCUCAGCAAG